rnacentral:rRNA from 1 species
GUAAAGUGGCGCACGGGUGAGUAACGCGUGGGUAAUCUACCUCUGAAUCGGGGAUAACAUUGCGAAAGCGAUGCUAAUACCGGAUAAUAUCUAAGAAACUUCGGUUUUCUGGAUCAAAGAUGGCCUCUAUAUAUAAGCUAUUGCUUGGAGAUGAGCCCGCGUACCAUUAGCUUGUUGGUAGGGUAAUGGCCUACCAAGGCCGCGAUGGUUAGCUGGUCUGAGAGGAUGAUCAGCCACACUGGAACUGACACACGGUCCAGACUCCUACGGGAGGCAGCAGUGAGGAAUUUUGCCCAAUGGGGGAAACCCUGAGGCAGCAACGCCGCGUGAGUGAUGAAGGCUUUCGGGUCGUAAAACUCUGUCGAGUGGGAAGAACAUGCUUCAUAUUAAUACUAUGUUGCACUGACGGUACCACUGAAGGAAGCACCGGCUAACUCCGUGCCAGCAGCCGCGGUAAUACGGGGGGUGCAAGCGUUAUUCGGAAUUAUUGGGCGUAAAGGGCGCGUAGGCGGUCUUUUAGUCAGAUGUGAAGCCGGGGCUCAACCCCGGAAGUGCAUCUGAACUAAAAGACUUGAGUAUGGGAGAGGGAAGUGGAAUUCCUGGUGUAGAGGUGAAAUUCGUAGAUAUCAGGAGGAACACCGGUGGCGAAGGCGACUUCCUGGACCAAUACUGACGCUAAGGCGCGAAGGCGUGGGGAGCAAACAGGAUUAGAUACCCUGGUAGUCCACGCAGUAAACGUUGAACACUAGGUGUAGCGGGUAUUGACCCCUGCUGUGCCGCAGUUAACGCAGUAAGUGUUCCGCCUGGGGAGUACGAUCGCAAGAUUAAAACUCAAAGGAAUUGACGGGGGCCCGCACAAGCGGUGGAGCGUGUGGUUUAAUUCGACGCAACGCGAAGAACCUUACCUGGAUUUGACAUCCCGAGAAGUCUUUCGAAAGUUUGAUGUGCCCUUCGGGGAACUCGGUGACAGGUGCUGCAUGGCUGUCGUCAGCUCGUGUCGUGAGAUGUUGGGUUAAGUCCCGCAACGAGCGCAA